UCCCUCGUGGCGCAAUUGGCUAGCGCGUUCGACUGUUAGUCUCUAGAGUACCGGCCGGUGCAUGUCUGCGAUCGAGAGGUUGGUGGUUCGAGCCCACCCGAGGGAG
rnacentral:tRNA from 1 species